UCCUCCGCCACCUCUUCCAAGCGCAGCACCGCUUGCAUCCCCGAAUACCCAAACGGCCACCGUGGCCCUGGCCAAACCAAGGAGGAAGAAUGGUUCGUCCUCCAGGGCACGGUCAUCAAGGAGGAUCCAGCGCGGAUGGCUGCCAAAGGAGGAUGAUAAGCAGAGGACCGAUUGCUGCACCGACAACAGUGGCGCUCUAUCCGGAUAGCGCUUCCGCAAAUGGUUCUGCCGUGGUGCGAAUUCGUAAAAACAGUCAAGCGAGUGAACUUUCUCCCUGUAGUGAAUGAGUGUGGCAGAGAAGAGAGAGAGAGAGAGAGUUCGUGAAUCGAAAUUAGAGAGCAAGAGAUAUCAGGUCAAGCGAGAGAGGCGUUGAAGAUGUGUGCGUGAAGAAACGAGAAAUAAAGCAGUCGUGUGUUUUGCUUGGACUUGAAA